GACGAACGCUGGCGGCGUGCCUAAUACAUGCAAGUCGAACGCAGUGGGGACGGGUGAGUAACACGUGGGUAACCUCCCAUCAGAGGGGAUAACCCUUGGAAACAGGUGCUAAACCGAUACUGAUGGAUGGACCCGCGGUGCAUUAGCUAGUUGGUGGGGUAACGGCUAACCAAGGCCACGAUGCAUAGCCGAACUGAGAGGGUGAUCGGCCACACUGGGACUGAGACACGGCCCAGACGCCUACGUGAGGCAGCAGUAGGGAAUCUUCGGCAAUGGACGAAAGUCUGACCGAGCCACGCCGCGUGAGUGAAGAAGGUUUUCGGAUCGUAAAACUCUGUUGUUAGAGAAGCGGUAUCUAACCAGAAAGCCACGGCUAACUACGUGCCAGCCGCCGCGGUAAUUC
rnacentral:rRNA from 1 species